UUCAAACUCUAUCUUCUCCAUUGCUACAAAAUUAUUAAAUCCUAUCGUGAAAUUCCUUCCCAAUGUCAGAAAUUGUCUUUGUUCAUUGACUUUUUCUUCUACUUCUUACUCUAAAAUCCUAUCUCAUAAAAACAUAAAAAUGUUUCUUCCUUCCUCUCUGAACAUAGCACCCUCAAAAGCAAGUGUUCCUUUCAUCGAACACUCUUCAACAAAUCCUUUACCAUCAUUUGAAAACCCUUUUUCUUUUGAACUUCCUAUACCAAAUUUGUAACUAAGGGACUAUUUGGGUAGCCAAUUAGUGAAGAAGUGCCAGUUUUACCAGCUUCUCCACCGCCUAUUCACUCAGACACUAGAAACAACGCCUUUAAUGUCAUGAUAUUUGUCCUCAUCUCUUUCAAUCAUCCUUUCUAAAGCCUUAUCAUUCUAACCUCCUCCUAAGUUUAGCACCAAACCUAAUAUUUUAAAAGGACCUAUUCCCCUUACAUUGAUUAAACCUCUUGAGAUGGAAUAAAACUUAUCUGAAGAAGAUUUAUCUGAGAAGCAUGGGAACCCUCCUAGUGUUGUUGAGUUUUGGGAAGAUUGGGUGGCUGAUCGUUAAACAAUGAUUGCUUCAGAUCCUCGAGGUUUUUCUCUUAUCUCUACUGAUUCUCCUCCCAAGUACCCUAGUCCUAUAUAUGAUAGCACCCAAUGUCUACAAGGGUGGCCAAGGAAGUGUUUCAUCCUCUUAUUGAAGAUAAUGAAAAGAAGAAUGACUUAUAAAUCUUUCCUAGAAUAGAAUAGAGAUGAAUGGGUAUUUAGGGAUUGAAUAGGUUUUUGAAAAACAUGUUCAUAGGUCCUAAAAUGCUUGAGUGCAUAAGAAAAAGCUAUUAACUGAUGCCAUGAAAGAAAGAAAAUGAACUAUACAAGAAAAAAGAAUGCAAAGAAAAGGAAUGAAAGUGACAAGCCAGUUUCUCCUCUUAAGAAAAUAGUAGACGUAGAGGCUAAAAACAAGGAGGAAGAUACUGGUGAUGAUAUUAAUAUUGAUGCAACCAAAAAAUGUAAGGAGAUGUGAGUCAUAAAGUCUAUAAAGUCUACAGCACCCAAGUUAAAGGGUGUAAGUAAUA
rnacentral:lncRNA from 1 species